UACAGAGGUCUCAAGCGUUGUUCGGAUUCAUUGGGCGUAAAGGGUGCGUAGGCGGCGCGGUAAGUCGGGUGUGAAAUCUCGGAGCUUAACUCCGAAACUGCAUUCGAUACUGCCGUGCUUGAGGACUGGAGAGGAGACUGGAAUUUACGGUGUAGCGGUGAAAUGCGUAGAUAUCGUAAGGAAGACCAGUGGCGAAGGCGGGUCUCUGGACAGUUCCUGACGCUGAGGCACGAAGGUCAGGGGGAGCAAACGGGG
rnacentral:rRNA from 1 species